CAGCAUUCCUGUGGACAAGACGGUGAAGGGGAAGAGAAGUCUCAGCCACUGACAGAAUUUCUCCAUAAUAGAAUAGGGAGAUGGAGGCAGGGGAGAAGGUGAGACCUGGCUGUAGGAGCUGAGAGAACAGGCCUGGUGGCUUUUCAGGGUGGUGGCUCUGCACUUCCCCAUCAGAGUCACCUGGAGGACGUGUUGCAGCAGAGCUGGGCCUUUCCCCUGGAGUUCCUGAUUCACUUGUUCUGAGAACCAGGAAUCUGCAUUUCUAACUUCCUGGGUGAUACCAAUAACUGCUGGACAGGACAACACCGAACUGCUGAUGGAGAGGUGGCAGUGGGUCACAGCACACCUCAAUUUGGAUAAACUACAUCUCAAGUUCUCUGUAGCCUCCACGACCCUGUUCUACCUGCUGCCUUCCAGGAUGAGAACAUCCAGGAGAGAACUUGCUGGCUUGUAGGGUAGAUGAAUGUUUAGCUGGAUUUCUACUCACAA
rnacentral:lncRNA from 1 species